rnacentral:miRNA from 1 species
UCCCCCGUGUACUUGAAACUGA